rnacentral:lncRNA from 1 species
GUUAUCAACCAUCCAAUCCAACAAUCCUCUCCUGAUCUCCCCUCCUUGGAUUACAAUCGAGCACUCACUGACAAGACAACCUUGGAUAUUGAAGAGAGAUCUAAGAAACUAAGGUGAAGUGACUUUAUGUCAUCAGCUCUUGCCUGAUCUUUGGAUUGGAUGUCUUUUGACCCUAAGGUUGGAACCCACCGAUGAUAAGGCAUAGAGCCCACCCAUGACAAGGAACAGAGCCUAAUAACCCAUGCGGGCACAAUUCAUCCAGGGUAGCACCUCAGCUCUAUACCAAUCUCAAGCCAUCGAUCUAUUCAGCCAUGUAAACAAUUUAUGGAACCUCCCAACAACUUUUAGAAUGUGGGAACAACCUGCAACUGACACCCACAACUAAUAAUCCUGAUUCAUG